rnacentral:rRNA from 1 species
CAGACGGGUGAAUAACACGUGGGAACCUUCCUCGUAGUGCGGAACAACUCAGGGAAACUUGAGCUAAUACCGCAUACGUCCCGGAGCAAUCCGGGGGAAAGAUUUAUCGCUAUGAGACGGGCCCGCGUCCGAUUAGCUAGUUGGUGGGGUAACGGCCUACCAAGGCUACGAUCGGUAGCUGAUCUGAGAGGAUGAUCAGCCACACUGGGACUGAGACACGGCCCAG